GAAUCCCGUCUUUGACACGGACUACCAGUGCUUUGUGAUGCGCUCUCAAAGAGUCGAGUUGUUUGGGAAUGCAGCUCAAAAUGGGUGGUGAAUUCCAUCUAAAGCUAAAUAUUGGCGAGAGACCGAUAGCGAACAAGUACCGUGAGGGAAAGAUGAAAAGCACUUUGGAAAGAGAGUUAAACAGUACGUGAAAUUGCUGAAAGGGAAACGCUUGAAGUCAGUCGCGUUGUCCGGAACUCAGCCUUGCUUUUGCUUGGUGCACUUUCCGGAUGACGGGUCAGCAUCGAUUUUGACCGUCGGAAAAGGGCUGGAGUAAUGUGGCACCUCCGGGUGUGUUAUAGACUCUGGUCGCAUACGGCGGUUGGGAUCGAGGAACGCAGCGCGCCGCAAGGCAGGGGUUCGCCCACUUUCGCGCUUAGGAUGCUGGCAUAAUGGCUUUAAACGACCCGUCUUGAAACACGGACCAAGGAGUCUAACAUACCUGCGAGUGUUUGGGUGGAAAACCCGAGCGCGUAAUGAAAGUGAAAGUUGAGACUCCUGUCGUGGGAGGCAUCGACGCCCGGACCUGACGUUCUCUGACGGAUCCGCGGUAGAGCAUGUAUGUUGGGACCCGAAAGAUGGUGAACUAUGCCUGAAUAGGGUGAAGCCAGAGGAAACUCUGGUGGAGGCUCGUAGCGAUUCUGACGUGCAAACCGAUCGUCAAAUUUGGGUAUAGGGGCGAAAGACUAAUCGAACCAUCUAGUAGCUGGUUCCUGCC
rnacentral:rRNA from 1 species